UGAGGAAUAUUGGGCAAUGCCCGCAAGGGUGACCCAGCAACGCCGCGUGGAGGAUGAAUGUCGUAAGAUUGUAAACUCCUGUUAGAGGGGAAGAAUAGUACCGGUUGGACCGGUAUAUGACUGUACCCUCAGAGAAAGCCCCGGCUAACUACGUGCCAGCAGCCGCGGUAAUACGUAGGGGGCAAGCGUUGUUCGGAUUUACUGGGUGUAAAGGGCGCGCAGGCGGGAUAAAAAGUCAGUGGUGAAAUCCUACAGCUUAACUGUAGAACUGCCUUUGAUACUUUUAUUCUUGAGUUCGGGAGAGAGAGACGGAAUUCCAGGUGUAGUGGUGAAAUACGUAGAUAUCUGGAAGAACACCAGUUGCGAAGGCGGUCUCUUGGUCCGACACUGACGCUGAGGCGCGAAAGCGUGGGGAGCAAACA
rnacentral:rRNA from 1 species